rnacentral:rRNA from 1 species
GUGGUUAGCCUAACUUCGGAGGGCGAUCACCACGGUGUGGUUCAUGACUGGGGUGAAGUCGUAACAAGGUAGCCGUAGGGGAACCUGCGGCUGGAUCACCUCCUUA